GUGUGUGUGUGUGUUUGCGUGCAGUCUACAAACAUGUUUUCACAAAGCUCUGGGGAGAAGCGAUCAUUCAUCUCCCAGGAAUCUUAGCAACAGCCAUCCCCAGAAAAGGCUCUGCCAGCUGGAGCGGGGAUGAGUCAGCAGAGGGCUGGUGGGGGAGGGGCAGCUCCGCCCCUGGCCUGGCCUCCCCCUUCUCCUGGGAAGGUCUCCAGGCCUAGCCUGGCCCUGGCUGCUGCUCCUGGGUCACUGCCUUGGCACUGGGGGCCGAGAACACAUUCCUGGAACCGGCCAGCACAGACGGCUAGAGGGUUUUCCCUCCUCCUGCUUCCCCCUCCAGUCCCGCCCCACACCCGCCCUUUUAUUUUUCCUUCUCGCUGCAGAACCAAAACACCGUGUUCACGAGCCCUGGAAUGGGAGCCAAAUGGCAAGCAUAGAGCGAUUGGACACAGGAGCUGCCAGGCCCAAGCAGGCCAGGCAAUGAGGACACCUCCUGUCAGCAGCCCAGGGCCCAGCGAGGGGCUGUCAUACUCUCCUUCCAUCUAUCCCGGCAAAGGGUCAUUGCUCAGGGCUCCUGGGAACUGGAGUUCAAGAUGGGGAGAUGAAGAUGCAAGACGGGAGAGGCCUGGGGCCCAAGGUCAUCUGCAGAGACAAGCCCCAGGCGCUAGAUGAAGUGAAAGCAGGCUACAGCCGACUUGGAUUAAGGACAGGACAAUGUACACCGACCCCCAUUUCCACCCUCCACCUCCAGUUUUCCUUCUGGAACAGCUUUCAGUAUCCGUCUGUCUGUCUUCUGGUCUUCUCUACUGCUUGGACAACACAGAGCUGGCCCAGACUGAUCAGGGAAGCAGCCACUACUGGAAGAGGGUGCUCUCCCACUCCAGGAGCCCUCCCGGUGUCGUCGUCCCCCUCCCCCGUCCC